UUUUAAAUAGUACUUAAAAUACUCAUUAAUAAUUCAUAAACCUUGUGGCAAAUCAUGUCAGCCAUAAUAUGUCACGUGGAGUGACUUUAUAUCUGAUAAAACACAUGUGGCAUUAUAUAAUUGUUCAUCUUAAUUAGCAUGAUUAUACUAUGGUUCAUCCUAAUUAGUAUUCUUUUGUAGUCGUAUUUUAAGCUAUUCAAAACACUUGUUGUCGU